AGCGAACGCUGGCGGCAGGCCUAACACAUGCAAGUCGAACGAAGUCUUCGGACUUAGUGGCGGACGGGUGAGUAACACGUGGGAACGUGCCCUUUGGUACGGAAUAACUCAGGGAAACUUGAGCUAAUACCGUAUGUGCCCUUCGGGGGAAAGAUUUAUCGCCAUUGGAGCGGCCCGCGUCUGAUUAGCUAGUUGGUGGUGUAAUGGACCACCAAGGCGACGAUCAGUAGCUGGUCUGAGAGGAUGAUCAGCCACAUUGGGACUGAGACACGGCCCAAACUCCUACGGGAGGCAGCAGUGGGGAAUCUUGCGCAAUGGGCGAAAGCCUGACGCAGCCAUGCCGCGUGAAUGAUGAAGGUCUUAGGAUUGUAAAAUUCUUUCACCGGGGACGAUAAUGACGGUACCCGGAGAAGAAGCCCCGGCUAACUUCGUGCCAGCCGCCGCCGUAA
rnacentral:rRNA from 1 species